CGUUAUGGCGGCUGUGCGCGGGAGACCUUCGGGUCGACCGGGUCGCCGCUGCCCGGGUUUCCAACCUGCGUACAGCUGCCACCUCU
rnacentral:antisense_RNA from 1 species